rnacentral:misc_RNA from 1 species
CUUGUAGACAAACGGGUGGAUUUGGUUUGAGUGAUGAGUACAGUUUUAACCUAUGUAAAACUGCGCACCUUCACUAAACAUGUAUUGAAAAUCCGAGGCAAAUCGACACAGUGACGUGACGUUUGUUGAGUGCGCGCACCCUGGGUUAAUUUUAUCCACAUGCUCCAACUGGAGAUGUUUGGAUGACAGCCAGAACGGGGGUGUUCUAAAAAUGACUGAACAGCAUUACGUCGCGUGGCAUCUCCUGUGUAGUUUGAGCUUGGCCAGUUGCCGGUAUCACGCAGAAGCACUUGCACGACGACUGUACAGUAAUUCUUGGUCGGCAGGAAGGUUUGGAAACACUGAAGUUGCUCACGUGAGUUAAGUUGUGACACUUUUAGACUUUAGAAAGUAUUCAAUGAGCAAACUGUCAUUAUUCCUAUUAUUAAUAAAGCUUCACUUUCUAGGCCAAAACUUCUUUCAAAAAUCGGAUAUUGGAAAGAAAUAAUGUUUGGUUGCGAAGAAGAAGAAUUUUACGAUCCUAAUGAUUCUUCGUCACCACCUAGUCCAGCAGAUGAGGAAAUCGUAGUUAAUAAAUCUGUAAAUUUGCCAGAAUCUUCUGCAGAAGUAGAAGAAAAAAAACAAUAUAAUCCUAAAGUAGUGAAUUUUUAUCCCAGUGGAUCUAAGACUACCGAAGGACCUUGGCUUGAAAGCGACUUCCGAAAUGCUCAAGUAAUGGAUAAAAAUGAAAGGCAGAUUCUCUACGAAAAACUUCAAAAAUAUGCAGAGAGCUGGUCUGUAUCAGAACCCGAAUCCGAAAGUUCUGAAAGGUUUUAUGAUGUUGACAGUGGCAGCGAUAGUGUUGAGGAACUGGACUUAAAUGAUCAGAGGAACGACACAGAAACUAAACAAAAUGGACAGGAUGACGCAACAAAUUUAAAUAUUUCUUCCGAUCUUGCUAGAGAAAACACACUAUCCUCAUUGCAGGAAUACAAAGAAAGAUCGCCAUCUGAUUGUUCGCUUGUAAGUAUGAGGAAUCAACAGAUUUUGGGAACUAAUAUUAACUCAAACUCAGUGGUAGACAGUGGUAUAACCUCUCCCAUUGGUACCUUUGAUGGUGAUAUUGCUAUACAUAACUUAUCCAAUAACAAUAAAAAGCAAGAAAUAGUUAUUCAUGACCUUACAUCGAAGACUAAAAAGACUGAGUUACCAAACACUUCAGUUAAUAGUUAUAGCUCGCUUCAAAACAUCAAUGGUCACGGCGAGGACUGCGAACACAGUUUAGCUCAUGGCACUAAAGAAUCUGUAUUUACUAAAGAAGAAACCAGAAAAAGCCUUUAUAGUACUGUGGAUGAAAGUGUACAAACUUCUGAUCCUGAUUCCUUACAUCGGCGUCUGGAAGGGAGUUCCAAAAGUGGGGAACAAUAUAAUGCUAGCGAUAACAAGGACGAAAACAAGCACAUAGAAUUAAAUUGGAAUGUUUUGAAUCGUAAUAAAGAAGAAGAUGAAGGAAGCGGUAAAAAACUUGUUCGUAGUACCUCUCUCAAAUCUGGAAAAACGCCCCCAGGAACCCCAAGCAGAAAGAAAAUUGUGCGAUUUGCUGAUGCUUUAGGUCUUGACUUAGAAGCUGUACGACAUAUAGGAUCAGAGGAUGAUGAACCGAAUAUCCCAGCGUCUGCUUUCAAGGACUUAAAAGUUACUCCACAUGAACCUAACCGUUCUUCAACCAGUUUGUUCUCACGAUUUAGCAUAUCUGGUCCAUUUGCAAGCAGUCUUGGCGUACAUGCGCCAUCUCACAGUACUCUUACGUUGAUACCCUUAUUUCUUCAACCUGUCACACAAAAUAGCUUCCUAGAUCGGGUUCGGAAUAAAAACAUCUGCUUGGAAAAUAUAAUUGUGUCUGAUUUAAAUGUGCAGUGUCACGUGCGUGUACACAAUAUUUCGUUUGAAAAGCUUGUGUUAGCUCGCUACACAACUAAUGAAUGGUUAUCUUAUGAAGAUGUCCUAGCCAAUUACGUCCAUGGAUCUUGUGAUGGGUUUUCUGAUAAAUUUUCUUUGAAUUUUUUUGUUCCUCAUAUGAGUGAUGGUCAGCGAUUGAUCUUUGCCAUCCGUCUAGUAGCUAAUGGUCAAGAAUUUUGGGACAACAACGAUGGUAAAAAUUAUGUUUUACGCUGUCACAGUCACAGUUCUGGAGUUUUUGCACCACCAACUGAAGAAAGCUCUUCUUGGAUGCAUCAUUUUAUGUGAAGUUGUAAAAUUUAUUUCGUAAUACAUACGGGAAAAAAGUUUUUUUUAAGUUACUGAGAUGAGUAUACACAGUUCCAGAUAAUAAGAUUUAUGCAGUAGGUGGCUAAUUCUUUGACGGAAAAAGCAACAACACUCACACGAGAGACGCAUGUCCGAAUAAAAAGUACUUGGAUGACUGUGUUUCAGUUAGUUGAAAACAUUUCACACUGGCAUGGGAUUCAAACCACCGUAAGAGUACAAUGAUAGUGUAUUUGUAGACGGAUAUCUAUUCUACUACUAAUAAGAAGACGGACAUGCAAAUGAAAUUAAUUUCAAAUGGUUUCGACCCAUUUAGAUCUGCUGAUCAGAGAGAGAAGGCAACCGGCCGGCAGGACUCACCACCAACCUUUGGGCUGCUCUUUUUACCAGCAAAUAGUGGGAUUAACCGUCACGUAAUAACGCCCCCACAGCUCGAAGAGCGAGCAUUAUCGACACCGGAUUUUGAUCCCAUGACCUGCAGAUUGUGAAUCAAGAGCCCUGACAACUAGGCUAUUCCAGGUCUAAAAUGUAACCUACGAGCAAUGAAAAUAUUAAAAACACGUAUUACAAUAAAUUCUUAGAAUAUUCAUGACGCCUUUUUGCAAAACUCAUUAAAAAUAUCAGAUUGAAACAUUUGAAUGGAUAGUAUUAUAUAUUCGAUUAAAUUCUUCGCGACUCCCUGUAACGUAAAAAUGUUUUAUAGUUGUUCUUUUUUAAUUAAAUUGAUGUUAUAUUUCUGGGAUUAGAACUCGUAUGUCCAGAGGGUUCUAGACCGUGAAUAUUAGCUAAGAUGAAAAUGAGGUUAAAGAAGAUAUAACAUUCAAUGACUGUGUUUUUUCAUUAUUUUCGAGAACGUUUUUUUUUGUUUUUGCCAUUAAAAAAUUUCUCCAUUUUUAGUUAUCCGCAACUAGAAAAAGUGCAAAUACAAAUACCCUUGAGCGUAAUAUUAAAAAGUUAUUUUUAAUGUGUC